CCCUUAGAUGUUCUGGGCCGCACGCGCGCUACACUGAUGCAAUCAACAAGUGCCUUUUGCCGACGGGUGAAGAGGACUCUUGUGAGUUUGUAUCGUGAUGGGAACAAACGAUUGCAAUUAUUCGUUUCGAACGAGGAAUUCCUAGUAAGCGCGAGUCAUCAGCUUGUGCUGAUUACGUCCCUGCCCUUUGUACACACCGCCCGUCGCUCCUACCGAUUGGAUGAUCCGGUGAGCUGGCCGGACAGGCGGACUGCAUCUGAUGCUCUUCGCUUGGAAGGCUCGCAAACCUUAUCAUUUAGAGGAAGGAGAAGUCGUAACA
rnacentral:rRNA from 1 species